UACGGAGGGUGCUAGCGUUGUUCGGAAUCACUGGGCGUAAAGGGCGUGUAGGCGGCCUGCUAAGUCUGAUGUGAAAUCCCCUCGCUCAACGAGGGAACUGCGUCGGAUACUGGCAGACUCGAGUACCGGAGAGGAAGGUGGAAUUCCCGGUGUAGCGGUGAAAUGCGCAGAUAUCAGGAAGAACACCAAUGGCGAAAGGCAGC
rnacentral:rRNA from 1 species